rnacentral:rRNA from 1 species
CUACGGGGUGCUGCAGUGGGGAAUAUUGCACAAUGGAGGAAACUCUGAUGCAGCAACGCCGCGUGGAGGAUGACACUUUUCGGAGCGUAAACUCCUUUUAUAUAGGAAGAAGAUGACGGUACUAUAUGAAUAAGCGCCGGCUAACUCCGUGCCAGCAGCCGCGGUAAUACGGAGGGCGCAAGCGUUACUCGGAAUCACUGGUCGUAAAGAGCGUGUAGGCGGAUUAAAAAGUCAGAAGUGAAAUCCUAUAGCUUAACUAUAGAACUGCUUCUGAAACUCUUAAUCUAGAAUAUGGGAGAGGUAGAUGGAAUUUCUGGUGUAGGGGUAAAAUCCGUAGAGAUCAGAAGGAAUACCGAUUGCGAAGGCGAUCUACUAGAACAUUAUUGACGCUGAGACGCGAAAGCGUGGGGAGCAAACAGGAUUAGAUACCCGGGUAGUC